rnacentral:rRNA from 1 species
CAAUAGCGUAUAUUUAAGUUGUUGCAGUUAAAAAGCUCGUAGUUGGAUUUCGGGUGGGACGCAGCGGUCUCACAUUGCGUUUGUACUGCUGCAGCCCUCCUUCUUGCCGGGGGCGGCCUCUCGGACUUCACUGUCUGGGGGUCAGAAUCGGCGAUGUUACUUUGAGUAAAUUAGAGUGUUCAAAGCAAGCUUACGCUCUGAAUAUAAUAGCAUGGGAUAACACGACAGGACUCUGGCCUAUCGUGUUGGUCUAUAGGACCAGAGUAAUGAUUAAGAGGGACAGUCGGGGGCAUUCGUAUUCCGUUGUCAGAGGUGAAAUUCUUGGAUUUACGGAAGACGAACAUCUGCGAAAGCAUUUGCCAAGGAUGUUUUCAUUGA